GAUGAACGCUGGCGGCGUGCUUAAUACAUGCAAGUCGAACGGAAAGGCCUCUUCUUUGCGGGUUCCUCGAGUGGCGCACGGGUGAGUAUCACGCGUGGGAACUGUCCUUCACUUCGGGAUAAGCCUUGGGAACUGGGGCUCAUACCGGGUAGGACAUUGUUAUGCAUACUGUUGUGGAAAGAUAUGCGGUGUUGGAUGAGCUCACGGCGGUUCCGCUUGUUGUUGGGGUAAUGGCGUACCAAGGCGUCGACGGGUAGCCGGCCUGAGAGAGGGUACGGCCGCACAGGGACCGAGAGGAGGCACAGAGUCCGAAGGGAGGCAGAAGGGGGGAAUAUUGAACGAUGGACGCAAGCGUGAGGAAGAGACGUCGCGUGGGGGAUAACGGCGUUUGUGGUGUAAAAUCCUGUUGCUAGGGAAGAAGCGAUUUAGUGACGGUAACUGGACAGGAAGCACCGGCUAACUACGUG
rnacentral:rRNA from 1 species